rnacentral:rRNA from 1 species
AACGAACGCUGGCGGCAGGCCUAACACAUGCAAGUCGAGCGAAGUCUUCGGACUUAGCGGCGGACGGGUUAGUAACGCGUGGGAAUGUGCCUCUGGGUGCGGAACAACCGUUGGAAACGACGGCUAAUACCGCAUGACGUCUACGGACCAAAGAUUUAUCGCCCAGAGAUCAGCCCGCGUUGGAUUAGCUAGUUGGGGGGUAAUGGCCCACCAAGGCGACGAUCCAUAGCUGGUUUGAGAGGAUGAUCAGCAACACUGGGACUGAGACACGGCCCAGACUCCUACGGGAGGUAGCAGUGGGGAAUCUUGGACAAUGGGCGUAAGCCUGAUCCAGCCAUGCCGCGUGAGCGAUGAAGGCCUUAGGGUUGUAAAGCUCUUUCACCGGUGAAGAUAAUGACGGUAGCCGGAGAAGAAGCCCCGGCUAACUCCGUG